CCUACGGGGGACAGCAGUGAGGAAUAUUGGUCAAUGGCCGGAAGGCUGAACCAGCCAUGCCGCGUGAAGGUCAGUGCCCUAUGGGCGUUAAACUUCUUUUGUGCGGGAGCAAUAAUGGUCACGUGUGGCCAGACGAGAGUACCGUACGAAUAAGCAUCGGCUAACUUCGUGCCAGCAGCCGCGGUAAUACGGGGGAUGGCAGCGUUUUCCGGAUUUAUUGGGUUUAAAGGGUGCGUAGGCUGUGAGGUAAGUCAGCGGGGAAAUGCCCCCGCUCAACGGGGUGAAGUGCCAUUGAUACUGCCUGGCUGGAAUGCGGAUGCCGUGGGAGGAAUGUGUGGUGUAGCGGUGAAAUGCAUAGAUAUCACACAGAACACCGAUUGCGAAGGCAUCUCACGAAUCCGCGAUUGACGCUGAUGCACGAAAGCGUGGGUAUCAAACAGGAUUAGAUACCCCUGUAGUC
rnacentral:rRNA from 1 species